CCUACGGGAGGCAGCAGUGGGGAAUAUUGCGCAAUGGGCGAAAGCCUGACGCAGCGACGCCGCGUGAGGGAUGAAGGUCUUCGGAUCGUAAACCUCUGUCAGCAGGGAAGAACGGUCACUGUGCUAAUCAGCAGUGAAUUGACGGUACCUGCAAAGGAAGCACCGGCUAACUCCGUGCCAGCAGCCGCGGUAAUACGGAGGGUGCGAGCGUUAAUCGGAAUUACGGGGCGUAAAGCGCUCGUAGGCGGUAUGUCAAGUCAAGGGUGAAAUCCCCGCGCUCAACGUGGGAACUGCCUUUGAAACUUGGAAACUGGAGUAUGUGAGAGGAUAGUGGAACUCCGGGUGUAGGAGUGAAAUCCGUAGAUAUCUGGAGGAACAGCAGGGGCGAAGGCGACUAUCUGGCACAUAACUGACGCUGAGGAGCGAAAGCGUGGGUAGCAAACAGGAUUAGAUACCCGUGUAGUC
rnacentral:rRNA from 1 species